rnacentral:rRNA from 1 species
UACAGGGGGGCAAGCGUUGUUCGGAAUUACUGGGCGUAAAGGGCUCGUAGGCGGCCAACUAAGUCAUACGUGAAAGUCCCUCCGGCUUAACCGGGGAACUGCGUCUGAUACUGGAUGGCUUGAGUUCGGGAGAGGGAUGCGGAAUUCCAGGUGUAGCGGUGAAAUGCGUAGAUAUCUGGAGGAACACCGGUGGCGAAGGCGGCAUCCUGGACCGAUACUGACGCUGAGGAGCGAAAGCCGGG